GGGAGGGAUGGAAGCAGAAGCAGUGGCGGGGACAGAUGGGGACACUGAGCCAGGGCUGGCGAGUGUUUGCCAGGCUGGCAAGUCGCUCGCUGCAGCUCCGGGCCAUGGAGCAGUGCAAGAGUCCCUGGCCGUUCGAGGCGUUGGAAGCAUUGCGGCGCUGCCGUGAGAGUAAAUCAUAAAUGUU